rnacentral:rRNA from 1 species
UACGUAUGGUGCAAGCGUUAUCCGGAUUUACUGGGUGUAAAGGGAGCGUAGGCGGCGCGUUAAGUCUGAUGUGAAAACCCGAGGCUCAACCACGGGAGUGCAUUGGAAACUGGCGUGCUGGAGUGCCGGAGAGGUAAGCGGAAUUCCUAGUGAAGCGGUGAAAUGUGUAGAUAUUAGGAGGAACACCAGUGGCGAAGGCGGCUUACUGGACGGCAACUGACGCUGAGGCUCGAAAGCGUGGGGAGCAAACAGG